UACGAAGGGUGCAAGCGUUACUCGGAAUUACUGGGCGUAAAGCGUGCGUAGGUGGUUGUUUAAGUCUGCUGUGAAAGCCCUGGGCUCAACCUGGGAAUUGCAGUGGAUACUGGGCGACUAGAGUGUGGUAGAGGAUAGUGGAAUUUCCGGUGUAGCAGUGAAAUGCGUAGAGAUCGGAAGGAACAUCUGUGGCGAAGGCGACUAUCUGGGCCAACACUGACACUGAGGCACGAAAGCGUGGGGAGCAAACAGGG
rnacentral:rRNA from 1 species